rnacentral:rRNA from 1 species
CCUACGGGAGGCAGCAGUGAGGAAUAUUGGUCAAUGGACGAGAGUCUGAACCAGCCAAGUAGCGUGAAGGAUGACUGCCCUAUGGGUUGUAAACUUCUUUUAUAUGGGAAUAAAAUGUUCCACGUGUGGGAUUUUGUAUGUACCAUAUGAAUAAGGAUCGGCUAACUCCGUGCCAGCAGCCGCGGUAAUACGGAGGAUCCGAGCGUUAUCCGGAUUUAUUGGGUUUAAAGGGAGCGUAGGUGGAUUGUUAAGUCAUUUGUGAAAGUUUGCGGCUCAACCGUAAAAUUGCAGUUGAAACUGGCAGUCUUGAGUACAGUAGAGGUGGGCGGAAUUCGUGGUGUAGCGGUGAAAUGCUUAGAUAUCACGAAGAACUCCGAUUGCGAAGGCAGUUCACUGGACUGCAACUGACACUGAGGCUCGAAAGUGUGGGUAUCAAACAGGAUUAGAUACCCCUGUAGUC